rnacentral:rRNA from 1 species
AUAACAAUGCGGGACUCUUAUGAGGCUUCGUAAUUGGAAUGAGUACAUUCUAAAUCCUUUAACGAGGAACUAUUGGAGGGCAAGUCUGGUGCCAGCAGCCGCGGUAAUUCCAGCUCCAAUAGCGUAUAUUAAAGUUGUUGCGUCUAAAAAGCUCGUAGUUUGAAAACUUGCCUUGGCUUACAACAGACGUCUAAGGGCGUCACCGUUUGUCGAGAGCAAAUAUGGGUGACUGUUCUUGCCUUCUUCACUGAUUGGCUCGUAAAAGUCAUCGAAGAUCACUUUGAUUAAAUUAGGGUGCUCAAAGCAAGUGUGCUACUUGAAUAUGAAUGCAUGGAAUGAUGGAAUAUGUUGUUGUUCUAUUUGUUGGUUUUUUGAAUGACGAAAUGAUUGAAAGGAACUGUUGGGGGCAUUCGUAUUGUUGUGAGAGAGGUGAAAUUCUUAGACCAUAGCAAGACGAACUACUGCGAAAGCAUUUGCCAAGAAUGUUUUCAUUGAUCAAGAACGAAAGUUAGAGGUUCGAAGGCGAUCAGAUACCGCCCUAGUUCUAACCAUAAACUAUGCCGACUAGCAAUUUGCUUUGUAUUUUUAUGACUAAGUGAGAGGCCACGGGAAACCAAAGUAGGGUUAUGGGGGAAGUAUGGUUGCAAAGCUGAAACUUAAAGGAAUUGACGGAAGGGCACCACCAGGAGUGGAGCCUGCGGCUUAAUUUGACCCAACACGGGAAAACUUACCUGGUCCUGACACUAGAAGGAUUGACAGAUUGAUAGCUCUUUCUUGAUUUGGUGGAUGGUGGUGCAUGGCCGUUCUUAGUUGGUGGAGUGAUUUGUCUGGUUAAUUCCGAUAACGAACGAGACUCUAGCCUAUUAAAUAAUAUGCGGAAUCAAUUUCUCCCGCGUUAUUUCUUAAUGGGAUCAAGCGUGUUUAACGCUUUGAAACAGAGCAAUAACAGGUCUGUGAUGCCCUUAUAUGUUCGGGGCUGCACGCGCGCUACAUUGAAGAACAAAGCGAGCCCUCUGGCUUUUAACAAAGCUAGAAAUCUUUUAAUGUUCUUCUUAAUGGGGAUAGGGGAUUGCAAUUGUGCCCCUUGAACGAGGAAUUCCCAGUAAGUGCUAGUCAUUAGCUAGUACUGAUUACGUCCCUGCCCUUUGUACACACCGCCCGUCGCUACUACCGAUUGAAUAGUUUAGUGAGAUCAUCUGAGUGUUUGUAUGUGCAUUCUGUGCUUGUAUGGUGUACGAAGAAGAUCAAACUUGAUUAUUUAGAGGAAGUAAAAGUCGUAACAAGGUUUCCGUAGGUGUACCUGCGGAAG